rnacentral:rRNA from 1 species
AACCUGGUUGAUCCUGCCAGUAGUCAUAUGCUUGUCUCAAAGAUUAAGCCAUGCAUGUCUAAGUAUAAACUGCUUAUACUGUGAAACUGCGAAUGGCUCAUUAAAUCAGUUAUAGUUUAUUUGAUGGUACCUACUACUCGGAUAACCGUAGUAAUUCUAGAGCUAAUACGUGCGUAAAUCCCGACUUCUGGAAGGGACGUAUUUAUUAGAUUUAAGGCCAACCGAGCUUGCUCGUCUCUUGGUGAAUCAUGAUAACUUCACGAAUCGCAUGGCCUCGCGCCGGCGAUAUUUCAUUCAAAUUUCUGCCCUAUCAAUUGGCGAUGGUAGGAUAGAGGCCUACCAUGGUGUUAACGGGUGACGGGGGAUUAGGGUUCGAUUCCGGAGAGGCAGCCUGAGAAACGGCUACC